rnacentral:RNase_P_RNA from 2 species
GAGGCUGGCUGGACGGUCGCUGCCUGGUCAAGCGUCGGGGCGCUUCGGCGCUGCCGGCUGCCGCGCCAGGGAGAGGAAAGUCCGGGCUCCAUAGGACACGGUGGUGGGUAACGCCCACCGUCCGAGCUGCCUUCGGGCGGCGAAGGAUAGGGAAAGUGCAACAGAAAGUAAACCGCCUGACGGAAGUUGCGCCCGAAGCUCUGCUUCGGAAGGCUACCGCCAGGUAAGGGUGAAAAGGUGCGGUAAGAGCGCACCAGCAGCCUGGUGACAGGCUGGCUCGGCAAACCCCACCGGGAGCAAGGCCAAAUAUGAGGGCAGGACCGGUCCGGUCCGCUAUGACUCUCGGGUAGGUCGCUCGACUGGCCGGGCAACCGGCCGGCUAGAUAAAUGACCGUCGCUACGUCCCAACCGGACGCAGGACAAAACCCGGCUUACAGGCCGGCCUUUGGA